rnacentral:rRNA from 1 species
UACGUAGGGUCCGAGCGUUGUCCGGAAUUAUUGGGCGUAAAGGGCUCGUAGGCGGCCAACUAAGUCGGACGUGAAAUCCCCAGGCUCAACCUGGGAACUGCGUCCGAUACUGGAUGGCUUGAAUUCGGGAGAGGGAUGCAGAAUUCCAGGUGUAGCGGUGAAAUGCGUAGAUAUCUGGAGGAAUACCGGUGGCGAAGGCGGCAUCCUGGACCGACAUUGACGCUGAUGAGCGAAAGCUAGGGGAGCAAACGGG